AAUGAACGCUGGCGGCAGGCCUAACACAUGCAAGUCGAACGGGUCCUUCGGGACUAGUGGCGGACGGGUGAGUAACGCGUGGGAACGUGCCCCUUGGUACGGAAUAGCCCCGGGAAACUGGGAGUAAUACCGUAUGUGGUCGAGAGACGAAAGAUUUAUCGCCAAGGGAUCGGCCCGCGUUGGAUUAGGUAGUUGGUGGGGUAAUGGCCUACCAAGCCGACGAUCCAUAGCUGGUUUGAGAGGAUGAUCAGCCACACUGGGACUGAGACACGGCCCAGACUCCUACGGGAGGCAGCAGUGGGGAAUCUUAGACAAUGGGGGAAACCCUGAUCUAGCCAUGCCGCGUGAUCGAUGAAGGCCUUAGGGUUGUAAAGAGUCUUUCAGGUGGGAAGAUAAUGACUGUACCACCAGAAGAAGCCCCGGCUAACUCCGUG
rnacentral:rRNA from 1 species